GUUGGGUUAAGUCCCGCAACGAGCCGCAACCCUUAUCCUUAGUUGCCAGCACGUAAUGGUGGGNACUCUAGGGAGNCUGCCGGUGAUAAACCGGAGGAAGGUGGGGACGACGUCAAGUCAUCAUGGCCCUUACGAGUAGGGCUACACACGUGCUACAAUGGUAUGUACAGAGGGAGGCAANCUGGCGACAGUGAGCGGAUCUCUUAAAGCAUAUCGUAGUCCGGAUCGCAGUCUGCAACUCGACUGCGUGAAGUCGGAAUCGCUAGUAAUCGCAAAUCAGAAUGUUGCGGUGAAUACGUUCCCGGGCCUUGUACACA
rnacentral:rRNA from 1 species